rnacentral:rRNA from 1 species
UGAACGCUGGCGGCGUGCUUAACACAGUGCAAGUCGAACGGAGUUUUAACGGAAGUUUCGGAUGGAAGUUAGAAGCUUAGUGGCGGACGGGUGAGUAACGCGUGGGUAACCUGCCUCAUACAGGGGGAUAACAGUUAGAAAUGACUGCUAACACCGCAUAAUAUAGCGAAACCGCAUGAUUUUUGCUAUCAAAUAUUUAUAGGUAUGAGAUGGGCCCCGCGUCUGAUUAGCUAGUUGGUGGGGUAAAAGCCUACCAAGGCGACGAUCAGUAGCCGGCUUGAGAGAGUGACCGGCCACAUUGGGACUGAGACACGGCCCAAACUCCUACGGGAGGCAGCAGUGGGGAAUAUUGGACAAUGGGGGAAACCCUGAUCCAGCGAACCGCCGCGUGAGUGAAGAAGUAUUUCGGUAUGUAAAGCUCUAUCAGCAGGGAAGAUAAUGACAGUACCUGACUAAGAAGCCCCCGGCUAACUACGUGCCAGCCGCAGC